GGGGUGACGCAGGAAGGUAGCCGUACCAGUCAGUGGUAAUACUGGGGCAAGCCUGUAGGGAGAGCGAUAGGCAAAUCCGUCGUUCAUAUUCCUGAGAGGUGAUGCAUAGCCGAUUGAGGUGAAUUCGGUGAUCCUCAGCUGCCAAGAAAAGCCUCUAGCGAGCACACACAUGGCCCGUACCCCAAACCGACACAGGUGGUCAGGUAGAGAAUACCAAGGCGUACGAGAUAACUAUGGUUAAGGAACUCGGCAAAAUACCUCCGUAACUUCGGGAGAAGGAGGGCCGGCAUACCGUGAACAGCCUUGCGCUGGGAGCGGGCACCGGUCGCAGAAACCAGUGAGAAGCGACUGUUUACUAAAAACACAGGUCCGUGCGAAGUCGCAAGACGAUGUAUACGGACUGACGCCUGCCCGGUGCUGGAAGGUUAAGAGGACCCGUUAACUCGUAAGGGUGAAGCGGAGAAUUUAAGCCCCAGUAAACGGCGGUGGUAACUAUAACCAUCCUAAGGUAGCGAAAUUCCUUGUCGGGUAAGUUCCGACCUGCACGAAUGGCGUAACGACUUCUCAACUGUCUCAACCAUAGACUCGGCGAAAUUGCACUACGAGUAAAGAUGCUCGUUACGCGCGGCAGGACGAAAAGACCCCGGGACCUUCACUACAACUUGGUAUUGGUGUUCGGUACGGUUUGUGUAGGAUAGGUGGGAGACUGUGAAACUCCAACGCUAGUUGGGGCGGAGUCGUUGUUGAAAUACCACUCUGAUCGUAUUGGAUACCUAACUUCGAACCCUAUAUCGGGUUCAGGGACAGUGCCUGGCGGGUAGUUUAACUGGGGCGGUUGCCUCCUAAAAUGUAACGGAGGCGCCCAAAGGUUCCCUCAACCUGGACGGCAAUCAGGUGUUGAGUGUAAAUGCACAAGGGAGCUUGACUGCGAGACUUACAAGUCAAGCAGGGACGAAAGUCGGGAUUAGUGAUCCGGCACCUCUGAGUGGAAGGGGUGUCGCUCAACGGAUAAAAGGUACCCCGGGGAUAACAGGCUGAUCUUCCCCAAGAGUCCAUAUCGACGGGAUGGUUUGGCACCUCGAUGUCGGCUCGUCGCAUCCUGGGGCUGGAGCAGGUCCCAAGGGUUGGGCUGUUCGCCCAUUAAAGCGGCACGCGAGCUGGGUUUAGAACGUCGUGAGACAGUUCGGUCUCUAUCCGCCGCGCGCGUCAGAAACUUGAGGAAACCUGUCCCUAGUACGAGAGGACCGGGACGGACGAACCUCUGGUNNGAUAACCGCUGAAAGCAUCUAAGCGGGAAACCUUCUCCAAGAUCAGGUUUCUCACCCUUUUAGAGGGAUAAGGCCCCCCGCAGACUACGGGAUUGAUAGGUCAGACCUAGAAGCUCAGUAAUGAGUGCAGGGAACUGGCACUAACCGGCCGAAAACUUACCAAC
rnacentral:rRNA from 1 species